CCUACGGGUGGCAGCAGUGGGGGAUAUUGCACAAUGGGGGAAACUCUGAUGCAGCGACGCCGCGUGAGUGAAGAAGUAUUUCGGUAUGUAAAGCUCUAUCAGCAGGGAAGAAAAUGACAGUACCUGACCAAGAAGCCCCGGCUAACUACGUGCCAGCAGCCGCGGUAACACGUAGGGGGCAAGCGUUAUCCGGAUUUACUGGGUGUAAAGGGGGCGUAGACGGUUAUGUAAGUCUGUAGUGAAAGCCCGGGGCCCAACCCCGGGACUGCUUUUGAAACUGUGUAACUGGAGUACAGGAGGGGCAGGCGGAAUUCCUGGUGUAGCGGUGAAAUGCGUAGAGAUCAGGAGGAACACCGGCGGCGAAGGCGGCCUGCUGGACUGAAACUGACGUUGAGGCUCGAAAGCGUGGGGAGCAAACAGGAUUAGAUACCCUGGUAGUC
rnacentral:rRNA from 1 species